CUUUUUAACCCUCUGUUUGAUACUUGUUACUAUUUUAAAGUUGUUUUAAAGACCAGUGUGAACUGGUCUGUUCCAGGUUUCCCUGAGAGCUGAGAACAACACAGAUUUAUUUAUUCAUUUUUUUAUUGUGGCCCUUAAAAGUCCUUACCAGAGGGGUAGCCUUCUGUAAUAAUUCCACAUACAAAAUUAUAGUGUAACAUAUUAGCAUGCUUUGAUACCCUUAGUAAAGCCCUUAAAAAUAUGCUGUGGCCUCUCAGGGACCUGUAAAGCAUUAGAUAAAGACCAAAGAGGAGGGACUAUUCAAGUAAGAGAUAUCUGGUCUCUGUCUGGAAAUGGUGGUUGAUAACACUGGGCGGGCAGGAGGGACAGAGGAAGGCUUCUGAACCGCAUCUCCCUGUUUUCCUGGCAACUCUAACUGAGCAGUUUGAGUAAGAACUCCGAGUCCAGCAGACUUGUGUCUUACAGCAGCUACUACUUUGUCUUCCCUUUCCUUAUUAUUGAAGAAAUUAUUCAACUUCACAAGGCCGUACUACAGGGUUUGGCAUCUCCUGGAAGGCCAGGAAACCUUUUGGAGGCUUUACUUUUGAUGGAGCAUUGGAAUACAAUGCUUGGAAGAGAAAGCAAACCAUCUUCUGUCAUGAGAUCAAGGAGGGGACUGCUGGUCACCCUCUUUUGCCCCUACCGGCAAUACCUUAUGCUCAGCUCCUCCGUUUCCGUUGCUGCUAUAGGACUGGCUGGAGCAGUUGACAGAUGUUUAGAGGAUUUCUUGUCUCUGGACCAGCACUUCAUCUGUUCCAAGUUAUUCAAAACACAAACAGGGGGUUGGCAGGAGUGAAACCUGCUCAGAACUGGGACGUCAAAACAGAAAUAUAUUUUUAAAAAGACAAGCGUCAAAAAAAAACAAGUGUUUGUGAGGUUUAUAGCAAGAUGUAUUUAAAUGGUUGAGAUUUUCUUCUUUUAACCCCUUGGACUCCCACCUGAAAUGACAUUCUUCAAUAUCUACAGCAGUUUUCCUGCUUAAAUGUACUAGCCAAUAACAUAAUUUGGGACUAUCUUGUCAAGUGUACUGUUGUAAAGCUGUAGUGUGAUCCUGCAAAUGCUGUGAGCAAUACUGUUGAACAGAGUGGUGGAGGGGGCAUUUAGUGAGAAAUAAAAAAACAGAGAGGGGUGAGGGAGAGAUAGGGAGAGGAGGAUGGUGGGAUUAAACAACCUGGGUUUAGAGGAGAAAAAAUGCAGUUUUUCAUAUUUCCAAAUCUAAAUCAGUAUAGGUAGAAGAAUUUCAGGAGAAGGUAGCUGAUACUGCUUGCCUGCUAGCUCAUUCAGCUGCUGUCUUAUUCAGCUGCAUGAGCGUAGUAAGGCAGGACUGGUAGCUGAUACAAAAAUGAAUCAACAACUGAGCCCUCCGAAAAAGGGUGCACUCCGUUGGCUGAGUUACAGUAUGCAGGCUAUACGAUAGUAACUCUAGUCAUAAGUAAAGGAGUAAGUUUUCUUCUGUGAGUUUUUUAGACAGUAAUCCUAACAAAAUUCAAGGAAAAGCAUGGGAAGCAAGUGUUUAAAUAAGCAAUGAAAACAAAGUGCAAAAAAAGAAAGAGGACAAAAAUGAAAUGAUUUCGGUUAUAUUUGUUCUGUCUUUUUUUUUGAGUUUGAUGAUUAUUUGGAGGGGAAACAAAAACAUC